ACUACGGGAGGCUGCAGUGGGGAAUAUUGCACAAUGGGGGAAACCCUGAUGCAGCGACGCCGCGUGAGUGAAGAAGUAUUUCGGUAUGUAAAGCUCUAUCAGCAGGGAAGAAAAUGACGGUACCUGAUUAAGAAGCCCCGGCUAACUACGUGCCAGCAGCCGCGGUAAUACGUAGGGGGCAAGCGUUAUCCGGAUUUACUGGGUGUAAAGGGAGCGUAGACGGGAGCACAAGUCAGGAGUGAAAUGCCGGGGCUUAACCCCGGAACUGCUUUUGAAACUGUGCAGCUAGAGUGCAGGAGAGGUAAGUGGAAUUCCUAGUGUAGCGGUGAAAUGCGUAGAUAUUAAGAGGAACACCAGUGGCGAAGGCGGCCUACUGGACUGUAACUGACGUUGAGGCUCGAAAGCGUGGGGAGCAAACAGGAUUAGAUACCCGGGUAGUC
rnacentral:rRNA from 1 species